UUUAGUUUGUUUGGUAAUACUCCAACAGCCUAAAACAUUUAUUUAGACUUUGAAAUAAGCCAAAAUUAUUGCAGUUUUGGUGUACUCUCAUAAACAGUUGUAAACAGUAUCCAUUUCUGUGGGGUGGUUGGUAGAGUAGGUUACUGGAGUUAAAAUGACUUGUUCCUAGGUCAAAUGUAGAAUCUUGUUUUUGAUGGGUUGUGCUCUCUUUCCAGUCUCCCAGUUCCUGCAGUUGAACCCCCAGCUGUGACAUAAAACGGACCCGGUGGGCCUUAAAAGCUGCAUAGUCUAUAAUGUGCUAAUGCUGGAGAGAAGAUGAGGAUGAGCACCAUGUGCUGGCUGAGGUAGUGCUUUGUGCUGUUGGUCGGGUCGCUCCUCUGCCCGCUGAUGGAGAUGACGGCGCAAAACACUGCCUUGCUAGAGCUGGUGAUGAACCGCAUAUAAUCUACAAGACCUACACACCAGAUUUACAAGAUUUACACACCAGUCAUUUAUGUUUUUAUAACUCAAAUUCAAACCUGGG
ensembl:lncRNA